rnacentral:rRNA from 1 species
AUUGAACGCUGGCGGCAGGCCUAACACAUGCAAGUCGAACGAGUCGCGGACGGGUGAGUAAUGUCUGGGAAACUGCCUGAUGGAGGGGGAUCACUACUGGAAACGGUAGCUAAUCCCGCAUACCAUCAGAUGUGCCCAGAUGGGAUUAGCUAGUUGGUGGGGUAACGGCUCACCAAGGCGACGACCCCUAGCUGGUCUGAGAGGAAGACCGGACACACUGGAACUUGGACACGGUCCGGACUCCUACGGGAGGCAGCAGUGGGGAAUAUUGCACAAGGGGCGCAAGCCUGAUGCGGCCAUGCCGCGUGAAGGAAGAGGGCCUUCGGUUUGUAAAGUACGUUCAGCGGGGAGGCGUUACCCGCAGAAGAAGCACCGGCUAACUCCGUGCCAGCAGCCGCGGUAAUUC